rnacentral:rRNA from 1 species
AGAGUUUGAUCCUGGCUCAGAUUGAACGCUGGCGGCGUGCCUAACACAUGCAAGUCGAGCGGCAGCGCGGGGGCAACCCUGGCGGCGAGCGGCGGACGGGUGAGCAAUAUUUGGGAAUCUGCCUAUUAGUGGGGGACAACCCGGGGAAACUCGGGCUAAUACCGCAUACGCACUACGGUGGAAAGCCGGGGACCGCAAGGCCUGGCGCUAAUAGAUGAGCCCAAAUCGGAUUAGCUAGUUGGUGAGGUAAUGGCUCACCAAGGCUACGAUCCGUAGCUGGUCUGAGAGGACGACCAGCCACACCGGAACUGAGACACGGUCCGGACUCCUACGGGAGGCAGCAGUGGGGAAUAUUGGACAAUGGGCGAAAGCCUGAUCCAGCGACGCCGCGUGGGUGAAGAAGGCCUGCGGGUUGUAAAGCCCUUUCGGUGGGGAAGAAAAGCCUCGACCUAACACGUCGGGGUCUUGACGUAACCCAUAGAAGAAGCACCGGCUAACUCUGUGCCAGCAGCCGCGGUAAUACAGAGGGUGCGAGCGUUAAUCGGAAUUACUGGGCGUAAAGCGCGCGUAGGCGGCUUUGCAAGUCGGGUGUGAAAUCCCCAGGCUUAACCUGGGAACUGCAUUCGAGACUGCAUUGCUAGAGUAUGGGAGAGGGAAGUGGAAUUUCAGGUAGCGGUGAAAUGCGUAGAUAUCUGAAGGAACAUCAGUGGCGAAAGCGACUUCCUGGACCAAUACUGACGCUCAUGUGCGAAAGCGUGGGGAGCAAACAGGAUUAGAUACCCNNGUAGUCC